CGGACGGGUGAGUAACGCGUGGAAAACCUGCCGUACACUGGGGGAUAACACUUAGAAAUAGGUGCUAAUACCGCAUAAGCGCACAGCUUCGCAUGAAGCGGUGUGAAAAACUCUGGUGGUAUACGAUGGUUCCGCGUCUGAUUAGCUAGUUGGUGGGGUAAUGGCCUACCAAGGCAACGAUCAGUAGCCGGCCUGAGAGGGUGAACGGCCACAUUGGGACUGAGACACGGCCCAAACUCCUACGGAAGGCAGCAG
rnacentral:rRNA from 1 species